rnacentral:rRNA from 1 species
CCUACGGGUGGCAGCAGUGGGGAAUAUUGGGCAAUGGGCGCAAGCCUGACCCAGCAACGCCGCGUGAAGGAAGAAGGCUUUCGGGUUGUAAACUUCUUUUCUCAGGGACGAAGCAAGUGACGGUACCUGAGGAAUAAGCCACGGCUAACUACGUGCCAGCAGCCGCGGUAAUACGUAGGUGGCAAGCGUUGUCCGGAUUUACUGGGUGUAAAGGGCGUGCAGCCGGAGAGACAAGUCAGAUGUGAAAUCCACGGGCUCAACCCGUGAACUGCAUUUGAAACUGUUUCCCUUGAGUGUCGGAGAGGUAAUCGGAAUUCCUUGUGUAGCGGUGAAAUGCAUAGAUAUCACGCAGAACUCCGAUUGCGAAGGCAGCAUACCGGCGCUCAACUGACGCUCAUGCACGAAAGUGUGGGUAUCGAACAGGAUUAGAUACCCUAGUAGUC